rnacentral:lncRNA from 1 species
UAUAUACAGUUCACGUAAUAUCAAAGCGGUAAAAGCAAUCAAUUAGCACAUUAAGCACAUAUCCUGUAACAGAAUCAGAUAAAACUAAACACAACAAUUAUUCUAAGCUUGAAUUCUGAACCCUGAACCAGAGAUUCUGGGUUCGUCUCCCCAACACAGUCGCCAGAGCUGUCAUACCUCCUUUUUCUUCUAUAUACCCCGCAAAAGGGAGCGUAAAGGUGUUUUUCCAAUUAAAGGACAAUCGGAAUGUUAUUUGUUUAUUAUUUAUUCAGAGUCGCCACUUGGGAGAUUAAUGGUGUCCCAAGUCACCGAGUGAAUCUCGAACCGAGGAAAAAGAUGACUCUAUUAACAGUAUGUGAACCAGAAAUCCGGAUAAGAAAUUCUGUUAACUAGGGAGAACGUGUUAGGCAUUCCCGGGUUUCGUGGUUCUAGCACGAUCGCUCAACUGUUGCAUUUAGCUAUUAUCUGACUUUAUUACAUGAAGAGCGUAUGUGCCAAUUUUAUGUUUAACCGCUUUUAUUUAUUAAGUAUUUAUUUAAGAGAAAGUGAACGUCGUUUAAAGUGUGUUUUUGGAUUGCGCCGCAUCAAAUGAACCCGCAAUCCUAGGCACACUCUAUUCAACAUUUUAGGAUUUGGAUUUAGGCCGCAUAAAAUGCCCACCCAUAUUUGAGAAUAUAAUUUUAUUAAAGUCGUGUCUAAUAGAGUCUAACGAGUUAUAAUCUUUUGGGAGGGCCGUGAAAUAGGCACACUCUAUUCAACGUUUUAGAAUCUGGAUUUGGGCCGCAUAAUAUGCCCAGUCGUAUUUAGGAAUGUAAUUUAUUAGAAUCGCGUCUAAAAGAGUCUAACGCGUUAUUAUCUUUUGGGAGGGUUGUGAAAUUCGCUAAACGACC